AGACAGCAGUCGCCGCGGUAAUACAGAGGGUGCGAGCGUUAAUCGGAUUUACUGGGCGUAAAGCGUGCGUAGGCGGCUUCUUAAGUCGGAUGUGAAAUCCCUGAGCUUAACUUAGGAAUUGCAUUCGAUACUGGGAAGCUAGAGUAUGGGAGAGGAUGGUAGAAUUCCAGGUGUAGCGGUGAAAUGCGUAGAGAUCUGGAGGAAUACCGAUGGCGAAGGCAGCCAUCUGGCCUAAUACUGACGCUGAGGUACGAAAGCAUGGGGAGCAAACAGGAUUAGAUACCCCGGUAGUCCCUGUCUCUUAUAC
rnacentral:rRNA from 1 species